AUGAGGUCAUGGAGGCAAUGCGUAAGAUGAGAAGCGGCAGAGCUACCGGACCAGAUGAAAUUUCGGUUGAGCUUUGGAGGUGUGUGGGUAGAGCAGGCUUGGAAUGGCUUACUAAGUUGCUUAAUGUUAUAUCCAAGACUAAUAGGAUGCCCGAAGAGUGGAGGUGGAGUACAAUGGUCCCGUUGUAUAAGAACAAAGGCGAUAUCCAGAUCUAUAACAACUAUAGGGGUAUUAAAUUACUAAGUCAUACCAUGAAAGUCUGGGAGAGAGUGGUAGAAAUGAGAGUGCGAAGGACGGUGUCUAUUUCAGACAACCAGUUCGGGUUCAUGCCGGGGCGAUCUACCACAGAAGCUAUCCACCUUAUUAGGAGGACGGUGGAACAAUACAGGGAUAAGAAGAAGGAUCUCCACAUGGUGUUUAUCGAUCUAGAGAAAGCGUACGACAAGGUUCCUAGGGAGGUCUUAUGGAGAUGCUUAGAGGCUAAAGGGGUCCCGGUUGCCUAUAUUAGGGCGAUUAAGGACAUGUAUGAUGGAGCUAAGACUCGGGUUAGGACAGCAGGAGGCGAUUCAGAUUAUUUUCCGGUUAUUACGGGGUUGCAUCAAGGGUCUGCGUUCAGCCCUUUCCUAUUUGCCCUGGUGAUGGAUGCUAUAACGUAUCAUAUUCAGGGGGAGGUGCCAUGGUGCAUGCUAUUUGCUGAUGACAUAGUCCUAAUCGACGAGACACGGCGCGGCGUCAGCGAGAGGUUAGAGGUAUGGAGACAUACCCUUGAGUCCAAAGGUUUCAGGUUGAGCAGGACGAAGACGGAAUACCUUGAGUGCAAAUUUGGGGCAGAGCCGACGGAAGCGGGAGUGGAAGUGAGGCUUGAUUCUCAAGUCAUCCCUAAGAAGGGUAGUUUCAAGUACCUGGGGUCGUUUAUUCAGGGGUCCGGGGAGAUCGACGAGGAUGUCACGCACCGUAUAGGGGUGGGGUGGAUGAAAUGGAGGUUAGCGACGGGAGUCCUGUGUGACAAGAAAGUGCCGCUGUUACUGAAAGGUAAAUUUUAUAGGGCAGUGGUUAGGCCUGCUAUGUUGUAUGGGACCGAGUGUUGGCCGGUGAAGAUCUCACACAUCCAGAGGAUGAAAGUUGCAGAGAUGAGGAUGUUGAGGUGGAUGUGCGGGCAUACAAGGAAGGAUAAGAUUAGAAAUGAAGAUAUUCGAGAGAAGGUGGGUGUGGCCCUCAUGGAGGACAAGAUGCGGGAAGCAAGACUCAGAUGGUUCGGGCACAUUCAGAGGAGGAACACUGAUGCACCGGUGAGAAGGUGUGAACGACUGGCGGUGGUGGGUACGAGGAGAGGUAGAGGGAGACCUAAGAAGUAUUGGGGAGAGGUGAUCAGGCAGGAUAUGGCGCGACUUAGGGUUACUGAGGGCAUGGCCCUAAACAGGGAAUUGUGGAGAUCGAGCAUUAAGGUUGUAUGUUAGGGAAAUUGUGAUGUCUUUUUUACAGCGUACUAGAGUGAGACUAGCCAGUUGUGUAUCUCUUAUAUUGCUGUUACUUUGUUUUUAUGGUAUUUAUGUUAUGUUAUGGAUUUAAUGGUAUUUUAUGUUGUUUUAUUAUGAGUCUAUUGAUAGUACUAAUAUAGUGUCUCUUGUUGCCUCUUUGAGCCGAGGGUCUCCUGGAAACAGCCUCUCUGCCCCUCGAGUAUAGGUAAGGUCUGCGUACUUAUUACCCUCCCCAGACCCCACUUGUGGGAUUACACUGGGUUGUUGUUGUUGUUG
rnacentral:lncRNA from 1 species